AGAGCAUCAACAGUGGGCUUCUCAAAUGCCAAAUUGUAAAGUAAAUUUGGCAUUUGGGCCCAAUUUACCCCAGCAAUUGGAUUGCUAAACCUGGGACCGGCCAAAUUUUUUUGGCAUACUGCUACAGUGCGAUCUCAUAUAUGAGAUCGCACUGUAGCGCUAUGCCAUCCAACAAAAUUUUAUUUUAAUAGUGCACAGUCGCUCAACCUCUCUCUCUCUCUUCCUACACUACCGGUUUUUGCUCUCUCUCGCGCCAUCAAGCUUUUCCCUUUCCCUCGCUUUUCUCUCCGAUCACCAAGCCGCUGUCUCACCAAGCCUCGCUUUUCUCUCCGAUCACCAAGCCAUCGCUGUCACCAAGCCUCGCUUUUCUCUCCGAUCAACAAGCCGCUGUUCGAAUCACCAAGCCUCUGCCGAUUCACCCUCACCCAUCUCCAAAUCCGUUUUCACUGUCACCAAGCCUCGCUAUUCUCUCCGAUCACCAAGCCGCUGUCACCAAGCCUCGCUUUUCUCUCCGAUCAAGAAGCCGCUGUCCGAAUCACCAAGCCUCUGCCUCUGCCGAUCCACCCUCACCCAUCUCCAAAUCCGUUUCACUGUCACCGAGCUUCGCUUUUCUCUCCGAUCACCAAGCCGCUGUCCGAAUCACCAAGCCUCUGCCUCUGCCUCUGCCUCUGCCUCUGCCGAUUCACCGAAGCUUCGUCGGUCUCUCAAAUAAAAUCAAAAUCAAAAUCAAAGCAAUUUACUAGAGGUGGGAUUCAGCUUCAUCACGAGGGUUUUCACUUGCUGUCGGAUUAGCAUCUUCAGAAAGUCUGCUCAGGUUCAACUCUAUGAUUUUGUUUGAUUUCUAUAUAUUUUUGCAGAUAAUAUAUAUUAUAUCCGAAGUGGCUGUGUAAAGGGCUUAUAUUUUGUAACAAAAAAUUACUGUGUAAAGGGCUUAUAUCCGAAGUUGUUUGAGAAUUUUGUAAUAUAUGAUGUGCUGAAAUGGUGUUGUUUGGAUUCAUUGUUCCGGUUCAAGGUACAAUAAGGAUUAGGGAAGCCUAGUAGGAUUUAGAUUAAGGCGUUGAGGAAGUGCUUGACAAAGUCUCUGUGAAUCUCAUCUAGUUAUUGAUAAUGUGUCUAUUAAUUACCUGAUGAAGUUUUAGUUUCUAUAAUAUCUCGCUUGACUUUGAAAGAAGCAGGAAGAAGUAGCAUUAUUUAAGAUGGAAAAGGAUGUCAAGAUUUUAGUGUAGAAAAAGGCAAAUGGCAAUAUUUGUCUAAGUGAAGCAAGGCCUCAAAUUCUAAAUAUAGUUAUUAUACUAAGAAUGAACUCAAAUCAUACGUGUCUAAUACCCUGGAAUUUUAUAUUAAAGUCUUUGUGGCUCUACAAAUGUGUGCUACAUGAGAAAAAAUUAAUCAACAAUAAGCUUUACAACAAGCUAGGCACAGUUUGAAUUGAUGCUGGAGUGCUCUUGCACAUGUUAAUGUUAUGAGCUUAUUUUCGUUGUUUAAUUGAGAUAGGUUGUUGCCUUUUCUCACAGUUAUGAGCUCCGAAAUUUUCUUCGUCUACUCUCUCUCUCACAGUAUGGAUAUAUUUUUCACAAUUUCCUCCAACAGACUUUCAAUAAAAAUUUCAAUUGAAGCGUUGUUGAUGCAAAUGGAACCAUAAUCUUUUUCACUAAUUAUUAUUUCAUUAUAUUUUUCAUAUUAGUGCUUUUAUUUUUUUGGAUUGGUUAGUUACACACCCACCCAAUGGGUCUUGAACCCUUGACCUCACCCUCCACCUACCAUCCAACACUUGUAAGGGGAGGAAGUGACAAUUGUGCUGGAGCUCACUGUCAAUUUUUUCCCCCCAUAUUUUAUAUUUCACGUCUUAGUGACCUUUGUUAGGCAUCCAUCUGUGGUGAGAUGACUGGAUUUAGUGGUUUUAUUGGACUUUGGGAAAUGAUGCCAAAACUUAAAGAGUGACUGAAGCAUAAGCUCUGCUGAAUAUUAUUUGCAUGUCAGUCUGAUCCCAAAUUCUCUGUGGUUCUUUUAUAUUGAUAUACAUACAUAUAUAUUUUUAUUUUUUAUGAUAAUCUUUUGUGAAUAGUGACAAGAUUGGUAGUCUCUUCUAUGUUCUUGUUUGUGUUAAUGGGUUGUUGUGGUAAACUUACAUCAUUUGACUUUUGUAAUUUGUUGUUUAUUUCGGACUUUGGGAAGUGAUGAGAAGAUAAAAACUGAUUGGAAAAGUCACCAGCAAUGCUGAAAUUAUUCAUUUGCACGUCAGUCUGAUCCCAGGUUUCAAUGUUUAUGACUUAUCUAUUCCAUAUUAGUGUCUAUUUUUGUACUUUACUUCUUAGCAACAUUUGUUAGCUAUUCGACUAUCUGUGGUGAGAUGACUGGAUUUAGUGUUUUUAUUGGAGUUUGGGAAAUGAUGCCAAAACCAAAAAAUUGUGACUGAGGUGUAAGCUUUGCUUAUAAUAAGAUUGAUUAUAUGGAGUCUAUAUUGUUAUGCUGAAGGGUUUCAUUUUUGCUUAUAAUAAGAUUGAAAAACUUGUAUGCUGAAGGGUUUCAGGAUAAUGGAGUCUAUAUUGUCAGCUUGAGCUUAAAAUCUUCUCUCUGACUCUCUUAAAUUCUUUUCUGGUCAUUAUAUUGAGAAUAAACUUAAUUGAUUUUUCUUUUAUUCGUAAUUGCUAGAUUUGAAGUGCUCCAAAUGUUUGGUACCAUGCCUUUGUGUAUGUAUACCCAAUCCAUAAGCCUUGGGGAUGUACGUUUAAAUUUAGAUCCAAUCCAUAUAUAUGUGGAUUAUAAAAGUUGGUAGGUUGAGUACAUUGUUAUUUGGCAGGUUGCAUGUAUAUAUAUGUAUGUGAAAUUUAAAAAUUGGCAGGUUGAAUAUAUUGAUAUUUGGCAGGUUGUAUGUAUAUAUAUGUAUGUAGAUUUUUUAAAUUGGCAGGUUGAGUACAUUGAUAUUUGGCAGGUUGCAUUUAUAUGUAUGUAUGUGGAUUUUUAAAGUUAACAAGUUUGAGUAAAUUGAUAUUUGGCAAGUUCUUUCUCCAAAAAAAAAAAAAAAAAAAAAAAUGGCAGGUUCUAUAUAUAUAUAUAUAUAUGUGUGUGUGUGUGUGUGUAUCUGGAUCAUUAAAAUUGACAGGUUGAAUACAUUAAUAUUUGACAGGAUGCAUCUAUAAAUAUUUAUGUGGAUUUUACAUCAAUAUUUGACUGGUUUUAUGGAAUAUAUAUGUAUGUGGAUUUUUAAAGUUGACAAAUUUAAGUACGUUGAUAUUUGGCAGGUUCUUUCUCAAAAAAAAAAAAAAAAAAAAAAAAAUUGGCAGUUGUUGAAAUAGUUGGAAAUAAAUUGAAAAAAAAAUCGGUAGGUUGGUGAAACAGUUGGAAAUAAAUUGAAAUUGAAAAGAAA